rnacentral:snRNA from 1 species
GUUCCCUGGAAAGGGGCGC